rnacentral:rRNA from 1 species
GACGGAGGGGGCGAGCGUUGUUCGGAAUUAUUGGGCGUAAAGGGCGCGUAGGCUGAUCGUUAAGUCUGGUGUGAAAUGUUCACCGCUCACCGGGGACACGCCACUGGAAACUGACGAUCUGGAGUAUGGAAGAGGCACAUGGAAUUCUGGGUGUAGCGGUGGAAUGCGUAGAUAUCCAGAAGAACACCGGUGGCGAAGGCGGUGUGCUGGUCCAUUACUGACGCUGAGGCGCGAAAGCCAGGGGAGCAAACGGG